UAGUAAUAGCUUGUGCUGGUGACUGAGCUAAAAAGAAAAGGCAUUUUUUAAAACAAAACAAACAAACAUGCAUGACCCCAGGGAGCAGGAACUGUAGGGAAGCAGGGGGACAGAGGUCUAUGGGGUCAAUCUACCAGGCUGGGGGCAAUCUUGAGUGUGAAGUUGUUAUGGAGCCAUGUUGCCUGAAUGUGUUGCACCUGUUGGCUCCACACACACCCUGAACAAAUGCUAAUUUAAAUUUGGAGGGGGGGGAAGGGGUAGUGUUUGUCAGAGGUGCUGGAUUUAUGAGAUAAGAACCCCCUUGUUACUGUGUUUGUGCCCGUCGUUUAAUAGACUGAUAUACUUACCGGUUUGUCCUUCCCUCUGAGGCUUAAGCAGCCACUUCCAAAGUCCGUGCCAGAUUCUGAAUGUGGCCAUCUGCUUCCUUGUGGGAAAAUGCUGAGGGCUGUACUCAGGGUAGGGGGGCAGGCGGACCACCCUCAUAGCUACUACAGUAUUUGCAUGAGGAGAAAAUACCCCACUGGAGAGUCUCACACAAUUACUGCUUUACCUGCAGUUACCGCUUCUGCUUUACCUUGCUUUGACCACUCUGAAAUGUUGUGCCAUAGCAUGUUUCAUCAGCCAAAGGCGCUAGGUGAGCCUCUCCGGGGAGAGCCUUCCACAAACGGGGAGCCACUGCAGAAAAGGCCCGUUCUCGUGUUGCUGUCCACCAGACAACGUACAGCAAUGAUUCAGACCUACAUUGCAAAAAAAUAAACAUCCAUUCCUGCGGACCCCAUGACCGCCACCUGCUAACAUAUUGACUGAUGAAGAGGGAACAGGUGCACAGGCAACAGAAAGGUCAUACUCUGCAUAUUUAGGAAGGGCAAUGGAAGAGGACAGAGGCCUCACCUUAGGUGUUCACGCUCAGUAUGAUUUUAGGGAUCACCGAAGUAAGCAACAGCAAAUAUCUGGCACAUUAAACAGUCUUGUGUAUUGCUAAGAGACUGCUGAAUUCUCUCUAUAAGAAACCUUCUUUCAAGUCUAUCUGCUUAUCCCAUAUGCUCUUCAGCUUGUGCACUUGCUUUUCCUCUACAGUGUAAUAAAAAUCAUUUUGGAUAUUA